CGCCACCAGCAGCCUCAGGGAAAGCGGCUCUCCCGACCCCCCGUCUGACUGACAUGGCCUGUGCACCAGGAGGGAUGUGAACACAAAUGUCACCCCAAGUUCACUGCAGCUCUCCAUCCAGCAAAGACCUGAACCCCGAAGUGCUGGUGCCGCCUCUCUUUAGCAAUCUGCAGAUCCUAACAGAAGGUGAAUGACACUGGACCGAGAGCUGGAGUUCGGAGGAUGCAACCGAGGAUGAAGCACGCACAGGGCAGUCUGCUCCUGGCCAGCCCUCACACAAACUAUUUCACACAACCGUUCAAGCCUUGAACUGCCACAGGAGCCAGAACCGAGGGUCUCCCAAGGAGCAGGGCAGACUGUGUCACAUCCAGCCGGAGCUGCCCACCAGGGCAGCCCGGCUCAAGCGGCUCCCUCCGCCCAGCGCCGGCAGCCGGGAGGGAGGGGCACCACGACGGCCACUCUGCCCCUCGCCUCUGCUGCUCUCCACGCGUUUGUGAGCAGUCUUUGUCAGAGACAGCAAAAACGGACCCUUGAUCUGACUACAGCCAAGCUUCACACGGUGGGGAUGAGCACCCUGCCGAGAUGUAGGGUGCCAGGGCACCUUUCCUUGCAGCGCCUGCCUGUGCAGACAGCCGGCGUGCGGCCCUCCCUCCCUCUGCACAGGCUGCCGCACUGCCACCGCUCUCCCUGCUGCAGCAGAGGUAUUUUUAUCUCUCCUGAGUCAGAAACCGACGACAAGCACAGUUUGUCACAAGCUUCUGGGUGGAAUUGGUAUGUGCUUUGCAGCUGGAUCACAGUGUUCCAGUUUAGCUCAGUCCUGCCAAUAGAGCUGAGAAUAGUGCUCACUGGGAGCACCCCUUGUGUUCCCUUGGGUGGCCACCCGUACCUUCCCGACAGGUUGUACAGAUCUGCUGGCUUUCAGCAUAAGGUCACGGUGCAGAGAUCAAGGAUCAAGGCUGGUGCUCCACUAAACUCUAAUCUGCAGUAGAACUAGAAAUUGAAACACUGGCUACAGAUUAUACAGGAGGAUGCUGUCAGGCAUUACUGGCUCAUACAGGGGUCUGACUCAAUUCCUGAUUUCAAUACAGGUAGGAGGCUGCUUGAUCCAUCCUAUCAAGAAAUACUUUUCCAAUGACUACUUCAAUCUGCCUGUCUUGCUUUUAGCCACUCCUUUCUGCUGCAGGUGAAUGUUCCUCUGGCAUUUUUCUGUCCAUCCUUGCAAGCGUAUUAACACUCCAUGGCAAUAGGAGAUCAAGAAAACUGAGAUGAUGAGUAAGAGAUGAC